rnacentral:lncRNA from 1 species
GGGGAUUGACCUGGGACACGAGGGGUCGCUGAUGUCGAGAGGCAAGUGGGCAGAGAGGCGCUUCGCCUUCUGUGCCUGGCGCACAAUUAACGACGCCAUCUGUCGGGCGACACGUGGCGAGCAAAAGCACGCUUGGCGGCGCAUUGAUGAGCCGUUUCGUCUUUCGAGGCGUACCGUUACAACGCUCUCCCUAUAAAUAGAGGUCGC